GUGGGUGGAGAGAGCAGUGCGGGUCCCGGAUGGGAGUUGAGCCGCUGGUUUAACUCGUCGAGUCCCGGUUGCGGUGAGAGGAAGAGGGAAAGGGGGAUGGUGGCAGUGGCGGAGAGCGCAGCAAAAUCGCUGGAGACUGCGGGCGAGAGGAACGCUGAACGAAAACGGGUAUGGUUAUAACUGAACUUUGCGAUUAAAAGGUUUCCCACAGCACACCAUUGUAAUCAAAGUACGGACAGACUGUGAUAAAUCAAGAAAGUAACAGGAGAAGGUUUCUACAGAACUCUUUUUUUCAUCUCCCUUGAGAAAACCUGAAGAGUAGUUAAGCUGGCGAUGUCAAGGGUACCAAGUCCUCCACCCCCAGCUGAAAUGUCAAGUGGACCUGUGGCAGAGAGCUGGUGCUAU